rnacentral:miRNA from 1 species
UUUAAAGUCCACAACUCAUCAAGGAAAAUGAAAGUCAAAGUUGGCAGCUUACUUAAACUUAAUCACAGCCUUUAAUGUCCACUCCUCGAGUUCGAACCAUUAAGUUAAUAUACCAUAUCUAAUUGUUCGAACUCGAGGAGUGGGUACCUAAAGUGCCUAACAUCAUUAUUUAAUUUUUAUUUUUAUUGGCACACGAAUAACCAUGCCGUUUU